rnacentral:rRNA from 1 species
UACGUAGGGUGCGAGCGUUGUCCGGAAUUAUUGGGCGUAAAGAGCUCGUAGGCGGUGUGUCACGUCGGCCGUGAAAACCUGCAGCUUAACUGUGGGCGUGCGGUCGAUACGGGCAUCACUGGAGUUCGGCAGGGGAGACUGGAAUUCCUGGUGUAGCGGUGAAAUGCGCAGAUAUCAGGAGGAACACCAAUAGCGAAGGCAGCUCGCUGGGACGGUAUUGACGCUAAGGCGCGAAAGCGUGGGGAGCAAACAGG